AUACGGAGGAUGCAAGCGUUAUCCGGAUUUAUUGGGUUUAAAGGGUGCGUAGGCGGUUUGCUAAGCGGGAGGUGAAAUGCCGGCGCUCAACGUCGGAAGUGCCUCCCGAACUGGUGGACUUGAAUGACUCUGCCGUGGGAGGAAUGUGUAGUGUAGCGGUGAAAUGCUUAGAGAUUACACAGAACACCGAUUGCGAAGGCAUCUCACGAAGGGUUGAUUGACGCUGAGGCACGAAAGCGUGGGGAUCAAACAGGAUUAGAUACCCUGGUAGUCCACGCAGUAAACGAUGAUGACUAACUGCCGGCCCGUUGCGGGUCGGUGGCCAAGCGAAAGCGAUAAGUCAUCCACCUGGGGAGUACGACCGCAAGGUUGAAACUCAAAUGAAUUGACGGGG
rnacentral:rRNA from 1 species